GAUAAACGCUGGCGGCGUGCAUAACACAUGCAAGUCGAACGAAGUGGCGAACGGGUGAGUAACACGCGAGAUACCUGCCUUACACAAGGGGAUAGCCUUUGGAAACGAAGAAUAAUACCCUAUAGUGUAAGAUGGUCUUGCGUCUGAUUAGCGAGUUGGUGAGAUAAAAGCCCACCAAGGCGACGAUCAGUAGCCGGAAUGAGGGAACGUACGGGAACCUUAGGGCAGAGACACGUGGCAAACUCUACGGGAGGGAGCAAGGGGGAAGCAUGCACGAUGGGGGAAAGACUAAUGCAGCGGGGCCGCAAGAUUUAGAAGGCCAUCAGGAAGUAGAAGUCGUUUAUAUGGGAUGCAGUACCAUAAGAAUAAGCUCCGGCUAAAUACGUGCCAGCAGCCGCGGUAAUAC
rnacentral:rRNA from 1 species